rnacentral:lncRNA from 1 species
AGCUCGGCGGAGCUGCUGCGGCGGCGGCUGCGCUCCGGCCGGUCUUGGGGGCGGGGGCGGAGGAGGAGGUGGAGGCGAGGGUUUGGCAAAUGGCCUGGAGCUUGGCGUCGACGGAGGCGAGGAGCGGGGCGGGGGAGGAGGAGGGGAGGUGGCGGUGGCGGAGGUCGGGGAAGUUGAGGCGGGCGAAGUCGCCGCGGAGGCGGAACGCGGCCUUGUCGUAGGCGAGCGCGGCCUCCUCGGCGGUGUCGAAGGUGCCGAGCCAGAGCCGCGUCCGGUUCUUCGGGAGCCGGAUCUCCGCCACCCACUUCCCCCAGUGCCGCUGCCGCACCCCGCGGUACAGCUUCGUCGCCUUCCCCCCCGGCGCCGCCGCCGCCGCGGCAGCCCCGUGCUUCAUGGACUGCGCCCGCGGGCCGAGGUAGCCAGGGCCUCGCGGGGCGAGGAGCCGCUGCUGCUGCGGCUGCUGCUGCUGCCGCUGCCGCUGCUCGAACUGGAUCUGCGCCUGGAUCUGCUCGACCUGGGCCGGGCUCAGCUGGUUGAGCCCCACCGGGCCCACGUACGCCCCCGCUCCGUACUCAAAAAUCGGAUUUUGAUGCGAGAACGGAGACGACGACGACGACGAAGAGGGAGAUGGGGAGUAGAAGAGGGGCGAGCUCACCGGGGGGAAAGGGUAGGGGGAGGAGAGAGGAGGCGGAGGAGAGGGGGUGGAGGAGGUGAGCUCACCAUAGGUGAGAGGAGAAGGAGAGGGAGAAGGUGAAGGUGAGUAAGGAGAGGAGGAGGAGGAGGAGGAGGAGAUAGUGGAAGCGCCAUUAAUAAAAGGCUCGAGCGCUUUCAUGAGCUCCUCACUGAAAGGGUCUG